rnacentral:lncRNA from 1 species
CGACCAGACAAGUGUUAGAUUGGUUUUAGACCAAUGGUUAAUUAGAAAAUAAUCUGCUGCGUAUCUGUUGAAACGAUCUAUGCUAUUAAUGACUAGGGAAGUCUUUAGCUAAGGUUUAAGUUAGCCCUCGCCUUUAGGUGAUAUUAUAAAUAAAGGGCAAAAAUUAAGAGGUUCGGCCAGGAAGUGGACCGAGCGACGUAAGGCUUCGACCACGGCCUAGUCGGCCGGAUCGGGGUGUUACAGUGUGUGUCCGUGUGUGUCCGUCAGCACACACAAGAC